UGCUUGAUAUUAUCACUAUUUUAUUCAGUAAUUUUUACACAUUACGACCUUAUUAAUAAGCUUAUUAGAAAAUGGUGAACUAUUUGAAUGAGAAUUGGAAUAAAAAAGGGCCUUUGAAGUGUUGAAAGAAAUACUAAUUAUUGCUCCAAUAUUGCAAUCAUAUGAUCUUGAUCUUCUAUGCAUACUUUACAAUGAUACUUUCAAUUAUGCUAUUGGCAUUAUUCUUCAAUAAGACUUUAGUAAAGAUCUUCAACCCAAAACAUAU
rnacentral:lncRNA from 1 species